rnacentral:rRNA from 1 species
CUACGUGCCAGCAGCCGCGGUAAUACGUAGGGCGCGAGCGUUGUCCGGAAUUAUUGGGCGUAAAGGGCUUGUAGGCGGUUGGUCGCGUCUGCCGUGAAAUUCUCUGGCUUAACUGGGGGCGUGCGGUGGGUACGGGCUGACUUGAGUGCGGUAGGGGAGACUGGAACUCCUGGUGUAGCGGUGGAAUGCGCAGAUAUCAGGAAGAACACCGGUGGCGAAGGCGGGUCUCUGGGCCGUUACUGACGCUGAGGAGCGAAAGCGUGGGGAGCGAACAGGAUUAGAUACCCUGGUAGUCCACGCUGUAAACGUUGGGCACUAGGUGUGGGGGCCACCCGUGGUUUCUGCGCCGUAGCUAACGCUUUAAGUGCCCCGCCUGGGGAGUACGGCCGCAAGGCUAAAACUCAAAGGAAUUGACGGGGGCCCGCACAAGCGGCGGAGCAUGCGGAUUAAUUCGAAGCAACGCGAAGAACCUUACCAGGUCUUGACAUCCCUCUGACCGCUCUAGAGAUAGAGUUUUC